rnacentral:rRNA from 1 species
UACGGGGGGAGCAAGCGUUGUUCGGAUUUACUGGGCGUAAAGGGCGCGUAGGCGGCGUAACAAGUCACUUGUGAAAUCUCCGGGCUUAACUCGGAGCGGUCAAGUGAUACUGUUGUGCUAGAGUGCGGAAGGGGCUACUGGAAUUCUCGGUGUAGCGGUGAAAUGCGCAGAUAUCAGGAGGAACACCGGUGGCGAAGGCGGGUCUCUGGGCCGAUACUGACGCUGAGGAGCGAAAGCGUGGGGAGCGAACAGG